rnacentral:rRNA from 1 species
UUAAGUGAAUAAGGGCGCACGGUGGAUGCCUUGGCACUAGGAGCCGAUGAAGGACGGGACUAACACCGAUAUGCUUUGGGGAGCUGUACGUAAGCUAUGAUCCAGAGAUUUCCGAAUGGGGGAACCCAACAUCUUUAAUAGGAUGUUACGAUUGUGUGAAUACAUAGCACAUUCGAGGUAGACGCAGAGAACUGAAACAUCUAAGUACCUGCAGGAAGAGAAAGAAAAUUCGAUUCCCUGAGUAGCGGCGAGCGAAACGGGAAAAGCCCAAACCAGCAAGCUUGCUUGUUGGGGUUGUAGGACUCCAAUAUGGUAGUUCUUUCAGAUAGUCGAAUGACUUGGAAAAGUCAGUCAAAGAGGGUAAAAACCCCGUAGACGAAAUGUGGAAGACACCUAGGAGGAUCCUGAGUACGGCGGAACACGAGAAAUUCCGUCGGAAUCCGGGAGGACCAUCUCCCAAGGCUAAAUACUCCCUAGUGACCGAUAGUGAACCAGUACCGUGAGGGAAAGGUGAAAAGCACCCCGGAAGGGGAGUGAAAUAGAACCUGAAACCGUGUGCCUACAACAAGUCAAAGCCCGUUAAUGGGUGAUGGCGUGCCUUUUGUAGAAUGAACCGGCGAGUUACGAUUGCAUGCGAGGUUAAGUUGAAGAGACGGAGCCGCAGCGAAAGCGAGUCUGAAUAGGGCGUUUGAGUAUGUAGUCGUAGACCCGAAACCAUGUGAUCUACCCAUGUCCAGGUUGAAGGUGCGGUAAAACGCACUGGAGGACCGAACCCACGUACGUUGAAAAGUGCGGGGAUGAGGUGUGGGUAGCGGAGAAAUUCCAAACGAACUUGGAGAUAGCUGGUUCUCUCCGAAAUAGCUUUAGGGCUAGCCUCGGAAUUGAGAAUGAUGGAGGUAGAGCACUGUUUGGACUAGGGGCCCAUCUCGGGUUACCGAAUUCAGAUAAACUCCGAAUGCCAUUCAUUCAUAUCCGGGAGUCAGACUGUGAGUGAUAAGAUCCAUAGUCGAAAGGGAAACAGCCCAGACCACCAGCUAAGGUCCCAAAAUAUAUGUUAAGUGGAAAAGGAUGUGGGGUUGCACAGACAACUAGGAUGUUGGCUUAGAAGCAGCCACCAUUUAAAGAGUGCGUAAUAGCUCACUAGUCGAGUGACCCUGCGCCGAAAAUGUACCGGGGCUAAACAUAUUACCGAAGCUGUGGAGUACACCUUUAGGUGUAUUGGUAGGAGAGCGUUCUAAGGGCGUUGAAGGCAGAUCGUGAGGACUGCUGGAGCGCUUAGAAGUGAGAAUGCCGGUAUGAGUAGCGAAAGACAGGUGAGAAUCCUGUCCACCGAAUGACUAAGGUUUCCUGGGGAAGGCUCGUCCGCCCAGGGUUAGUCGGGACCUAAGCCGAGGCCGACAGGCGUAGGCGAUGGAUAACAGGUUGAUAUUCCUGUACCCGUUGUUUUUGUUUGAGCAAUGGAGGGACGCAGGAGGCUAAGGAAUGCAGACGAUCGGAAAUGUCUGUCCAAGCAGUAAGUCUGAAGAGGAGUCAAAUGCUUCUUUUCUUAAGGACAAGCUGUGAUGGGGAGGGAAAUAAUAGUACCGAAGUUCCUGAUGUCACACUGCCGAGAAAAGCUUCUAGUGAGAAAACAGCGGCCCGUACCGCAAACCGACACAGGUAGUCGAGGAGAGAAUCCUAAGGUGAGCGAGAGAACUCUCGUUAAGGAACUCGGCAAAAUGACCCCGUAACUUCGGGAGAAGGGGUGCUGAUCAUACGAUCAGCCGCAGUGAAUAGGCCCAAGCGACUGUUUAUCAAAAACACAGGUCUCUGCAAAAUCGUAAGAUGAAGUAUAGGGGCUGACGCCUGCCCGGUGCUGGAAGGUUAAGAGGAGUGCUUAGCGCAAGCGAAGGUACGAAUUGAAGCCCCAGUAAACGGCGGCCGUAACUAUAACGGUCCUAAGGUAGCGAAAUUCCUUGUCGGGUAAGUUCCGACCCGCACGAAAGGCGUAACGAUUUGGGCACUGUCUCAACGAGAGACUCGGUGAAAUUUUAGUACCUGUGAAGAUGCAGGUUACCCGCGACAGGACGGAAAGACCCCAUGGAGCUUUACUGUAGUUUGAUAUUGAGUGUCUGUACCGCAUGUACAGGAUAGGUAGGAGCCGUAGAAAUCGGAACGCUAGUUUCGAUGGAGGCGCUGGUGGGAUACUACCCCUGCGUUAUGGCCACUCUAACCCGCACCACUAAUCGUGGUGGGAGACAGUGUCAGAUGGGCAGUUUGACUGGGGCGGUCGCCUCCUAAAAGGUAACGGAGGCGCCCAAAGGUUCCCUCAGAAUGGUUGGAAAUCAUUCGAAGAGUGUAAAGGCAGAAGGGAGCUUGACUGCGAGACCAACAAGUCGAGCAGGGACGAAAGUCGGGCUUAGUGAUCCGGUGGUUCCGCAUGGAAGGGCCAUCGCUCAACGGAUAAAAGCUACCCUGGGGAUAACAGGCUUAUCUCCCCCAAGAGUCCACAUCGACGGGGAGGUUUGGCACCUCGAU